UACGAAGGGGGCUAGCGUUGUUCGGAAUUACUGGGCGUAAAGCGCGCGUAGGCGGUGAUCUUUGUCAGAGGUGAAAGCCUGGGGCUCAACUCCAGAAUUGCCUUUGAAACGGGAUCGCUUGAGUCCGAGAGAGGAUGGCGGAAUUCCUAGUGUAGAGGUGAAAUUCGUAGAUAUUAGGAAGAACACCGGUGGCGAAGGCGACUUACUGGACACAUAUUGACGCUGAGGUGCGAAAGCGUGGGGAGCAAACAGG
rnacentral:rRNA from 1 species